rnacentral:tRNA from 1 species
GAGGUGUUAGCUCAGUUGGUAGAGCAGCGGACUCUUAAUCCGUAGGUCGAGUGUUCGAAUCACUCACACCUCA